rnacentral:rRNA from 2 species
CUGGUGUCAGCCGCCGCGGUAAUACCAGCACCUCGAGUGGUCAGGACGUUUAUUGGGCCUAAAGCAUCCGUAGCCGGCUUUGCAAGUCUUCGGUUAAAUCCACCUGCUCAACAGAUGGGCUGCGGGAAAUACUACAAAGCUAGGAAGGGGGAAAGGCAAACGGAAUUCAGGGGGAAGGGGUAAAAUCCUCUGAUCCAUUGAGGACCACCAGGGGCAAAGGCGGCCUGCCAAAACACGUUCAACGGGGAGGAAUGAAAGCUGGGGAAGCAAACCGAAUUAAAUACCCGGGUAGUCCCAGCUGUAAACAAUGCAAACUCGGGGAUGCAUUGGCUUAUGGCCAAGGCAGGGCCGCAGGGAAGCCGUUAAGUUUGCCGCCUGGAAAGUACGGACGCAAGUCUAAAACUUAAAGGAAUUGGCGGGGAAGCACCACAAGGGGGGAAGCCGGCGGUUCAAUUGAAGUCAACGCCAGGAAUCUUACCCGGGAAGACAGCAAAAUGAAGGUCAAGCUGAAAACUUUACCAAACAAGCU